UUUAAGUUUUAUUCUUGCUUGAACUGUUCAUUUUAACAUUAAUCUAUAUGUAAAUUUUUGUAUUUUAAUUUUCUAAAAGAAAAUUAAACUUAUAAGGGGCAGUAGAUAAUUUUAUUGAUAUUAAGUUAAUUUAGAUUUGGUAAAUGUUUAUAGGUUUGGUAAAAGCUGUGCCAGCAUCCGCGGUUAUACAGCAAAAUCAAAUGAACAUUAUUGGUUUUUAAGUAAUUAAUAUAGUUUUUUAAUAGGAAUUAGAAUAUUAUAAGGUGAAAUAUUUAUAAUAUUUUGAGGUUUAUUAUUUUAGUAUGAUUGUUGUGAAAAUAAAAAUAUAAACUAGGAUUAGAUACCCUAUUAUUUUUAUUGUAAAGUUAAUAAACUAGAGUAUUAGUAGAUAUGGUCUUGAAACUUAAAGAAUUUGGCGGUAUUAUAGUCUAUUUAGAGGAAUCUGUUAUGUAAUCGAUAGUCCACGUUGAACCUUACUUGUAUUAUUUCUUGUAUACCGCUGUUUAUGAAUAUACUUUUAGGUAAUUUUCUGAAUAUAAUAUUAAUUAAGAUUUCAAGUCAAGGUGCAGUAAUAUAUAAGUUGAAUAAUGGAUUACAAUAAAUUGUAUUUAUAUGGAUUAUUAUUGAAAAAAUAAUUUGAAGGUGGAUUUAAUUGUAAUUUUAUAAAGAUUAUUAAAAUGAUUUAUAGCUCUAUAAUAUGUACACAUCGCCCGUCACUCUCGUUACUUAUCAUUACUAAGAUGAGAUAAGUCGUAACAAAGUAGGUGUAUCGGAAGGUGUACCUAGAAAGUUAUUAU
rnacentral:ncRNA from 1 species